ACAAAUCAGUGGCUGCCACUUGUCAAGCAAUGGAAGGUUGGUUAAAAUAUAUUGUCGUUGCUUGUCUUCGCCACUUUGUUGUUAUGUCAGAAGAUUAAUUUUUUUCCUUUUUUUUAAUUUAACAAAACGUCACCGUUUGCAUUGUAUUUUUGCUUGAAACGCUGUUUUUAGUCAUCCUCUUGGAACGGUAGACGAGGUUCACUUUCCUUCAACAGAAGAGGAUUCAUGAGCAUCCUCCUCCCCUCAAGGAUCCUCAAUAAUUCCCAGCAUCAAAGAGGAUAUGUCCACCUAAGCAAAAACCACCUUCAAGAGGAUAGAUAUCCUCUCCAAUAUUCAUGCUCUUAACUCCCAAUAGCCGUUUAUGGCUUCUUCUUUCUCUUCAAAAAUUUCCUCUUUCUCUUUCUCUCUCCCUCUCUCCUACUCAGAUUUGGUUUAAAGCUUCUCCAUUGCUCUAACCCUAACUCCAAUAAACACUACCUCCUCUCCAUCACCUUCUCUACUUGCAAAUCAUCCAUCUCGUUCUCAGUCAAAACAACCUUAAUUUGGAGCUUCAACAAUGGCAAGACAACAAGCAACUAAGACAACUCAUCGAAUUCUCUCUCCCCUGACAACUAUGGCUCCUAAUUUUCGUCAAGCAAAUUAAUCGGAUAUAAAGGAGAACAAAUUCUUAAAGAUCAUGGAUUCAUUUUCAAGUAUAUCAUGUUCUUCGUUUUUGCAUUUGAAUUAUAUCAAAAGUACUUAAGAUGUAACUAAUUAAAUACAAAGUGGAUUUUAAAGUUUGUUUUGAUUUGGUAUUCCGUAUUUUACUUUGACAAUUUCAA